rnacentral:tRNA from 1 species
GUUCUCUUAGUUAAGUGAUAACAGUGGUUUUUCAAGUCACCAUUCUUGGUUAAAGUCCUAGAGAGAAUU